UACGUAGGGGGCUAGCGUUGUCCGGAUUUAUUGGGCGUAAAGAGCGUGUAGGCGGCCAGACAGGUCCGUUGUGAAAACUGGAGGCUCAACCUCCAGACGUCGAUGGAAACCGUCUGGCUAGAGUCCGGAAGAGGAGAGUGGAAUUCCUGGAUGUAGCGGUGAAAUGCGCAGAUAUCAGGAAGAACACCCGUGGCGAAAGCGGCUCUCUGGGACGGUACUGACGCUGAGACGCGAAAGCGUGGGGAGCGAACAGG
rnacentral:rRNA from 1 species